rnacentral:rRNA from 1 species
UGCGCAGGCGGUUCGUUGUGUCGGUGGUGAAAGCCCCGGGCUUAACCUGGGAAUGGCCAUGGAAACUGGCGAACUGGAGUGUGGCAGAGGGGGUGGAAUUCCGCGUGUAGCAGUGAAAUGCGUAGAGAUGCGGAGGAACACCGAUGGCGAAGGCAGCCCCCUGGGCUGACACUGACGCUCAGGCACGAAAGCGUGGGAGCAAACA